rnacentral:lncRNA from 1 species
AGACAGAAAGAGGCAGACGAGGAAAAAAGACUUUCUUUUUCUUUCUAGAGGAAUUCUGCCCAGACCCAGCAGCAGUUGGUAGCAAGCAAGCUUUCUCCUGGGUGUCUCCUGGAAAAGUUGCAAAAUUGCUCUUCACCUGUAAGAACAUGCUCUUUAUCUUCCAGUCUCUUCUUGUCAAUUUGGAAACUGCAGACAGCCUGGCUCAGAAGAGAAGACUUGGGGUUCAGAGCCGCCCCCCCUCUCCUGCAGUGGAAAUGGACUUCCCUCGGGUCGAGUACAGAACUUCCCACACAGGCGGGUGGGUGAGUGCCCUUGGCGUUGCCCUCAUUGAUCCGGCUGGACACCAGAAACAGAUAAUCUGGUGAGCAGCUGAGGCACAGACUACCUGGGCUCCCACUUAGAGGCUGAUAUAGGACUGAAGAAGCAGCUGCUCUGUCAAACCUAGAGAUCUUGAACCUGAGGGCUGUGGACAUAUUCUUUGUAUCUUCCCUGCAGCUUGGCACCAGCCACCCCAGACACAAGAAAUUUUGACCGAGUUGGUGCCUUCACCCGGAGCUAAUCUUACUCCUGGAGCCGUAAACAUGAUGGCCGAAGUGACAGCCUGGCUACAAAUCCGUCUGGCAGCUUCAUUAGACAUCUCUCGCCUGACUGAUUAAACUGCGUUUAAGGCCCACUUUUAUUUUUUCAAGCCUUUUGUUUAAAUUAAAAGGUCAUGUUUUCAAGCAAAUAAUCUGCUGCUUCCCUCAAUCCAGCACCAUAAUACAGUUACAUUAUUACUAGUCUUAUCCCAAGUGGUGAGUCGGCUGCCCAGGCACAUGGGCCCCGGUCCCUCCCCUGGGCACAGCCAGGACACUGGGGAAGGGGACAGUUUAUUUAUUUGCAGUAGAACAAAGUGAGGGGGACUGGCUGGGAAACAAUCAAGUUGUUCCUUCACAACAAAAUCCAAAUGGGUUCCUAAUGGGAAAACUGGGUUCCAUACGUAGGACACACCUACAAUUUGAAAUCACUCCUUUCAGAUUUUAGUGGAGGCUUUUUUCUUUGAAUGGACAGUUUCGUAAACCUCCAUAUUUUAUCACUGUCCACUUUUACAAAAAUAACCAAUCAACUUUCUCAGAGCGUGGAUUAUUUACUGCCUCAAGGAAACAGAAACCCACACCGCACCUUAAAUAAUACAUGCUAACUUUUUAUGGUAAUGCAUCACAGGGUUUUUAUUAUGUAUCAGAGCAGGCCCACACUCCUGAGCCCUUCCUGGGGGCCUUCAAGCCACACAAGGGAACGUCACUUACUCUUUCCUGAGACUUUUCUGCUGGUGUGAUGGCAGAUUCAGAAUAAUCAUCCGAGGGAGAAACCAUUACCCAGCUCUUUUAACUUUGUGGACAACCAGAGAAGGCUAUUCCCCAUAUAUUUCACAGCAGGCCCAGGAUGAGGAAUCUGAAAACUAGAGGCUGCAGAUGCGGGCAAGCUCUGGUUGCAAGAGAGGAAGAAACCGUGUUUGCAGCCCUAUUUUUGCCUUUGUCUCCCACGGUUUGUACUGUUUAUAAUGCCUGCCUUUAUUUCAUAAUGUAUUUACCAUGCCUCAGUGUGAGACCAAUUCCUUUGUCAUGAGUGGAUGAAAGAAGCCAGGUCAGGAAGCAUCCACACAGGUGUGGGAUUGAUGCUGGGAACGAAAGUCUUAUUUCCUAGUGCUGAUAUUUUUCAUUUAUUAGUUACAGAAUUUUGAGUUUUAUCUGUUACUAAAUUCUACACAAAAUUGAUUUUUGGAUUAGAUUUUGUCUUUUUUUUUUUAACAUUUUAAAUUAUAAUUAAAUCCUCCAUAAUCAUAAAGGGUUGAGGAGAACUGCUGUUGGCAAACUCCUACUGAGCGUCAGUAACUCGGUGUGAACAGGGUUAGUGAACCAUAUUAAAGAAAGAGUAUUGCCUUUUCAUUUUCAUUUCAAUGAGAUUCUGUUUAUAAUAAAUAAAUCUGCAUAUUGAUACUGCAAAUAAAAUCCAAAAAUUAAAAAAAAAAAACUCCACACAUGUUUUCAUGCACUUGAAAUGUAAACAAUUUCCAUUGAAUUUUGCUGGGCUGUCUGAACCACAAAGCCCAAGUUCUUGACACACAUUCAUGUCAGCCUAUUUGUGGGAGACUCUGCUGCUGCUGACGUGGAAAGAGUACACACACAGGCACUGACAAGAAAGAGAGUCGAGAUUUUUAAACUUACAGGAUUUUUUGGAUUUUCAUCUCUCUAACUUCUGAUGCUAAAAAUCAAAGCAAAACAAGAAACCUGGUUAUAGAAAAUAAAAUUCAGGUAAUGAUAUCAAGACAUUACACAACCUAAAUAAUAUAAAUCAGUUUAAAUACAAUGAGCUUUAAAUGAUUCUGGCUCUAAAAUUUAGACUCAUGAUGAAAAUAUAUUUGAAAGGUAGAAGAUUCCAAAGUAUAUUUAUCUGCUUGUGAAUUGUAUUAAGAAACUAGAGUUUUAAGCUUUUUUUAAAAAAAUUGUCAUAAAAUAACAUUAACACAUUCUCCUAACUCAGGAUCACUUGAGAUAUUUAUUAUGUGAGUAGACUCCUAGUAGUUUUAUAAAGUUCAAACCCUAAAGUAAUUUUAAACCUUAAAAUUUGUAUAAGUCUUUUAAGUAAGGAAACACAUAUGGAAAGUGAUUUGUACCUAGUAAGUGUCUAGCAAAUGUUGGUUGUUGUUACUUUGUUAUUAGAGUAGUUUCUAGACAAAUAUCUGACUACUAAUGAUCAAAGUAAUUAAUAUUCUACAACUUCUAUUUCUGAUCCUAUAUUUCAAAAAAGUAAGCCAAACAUUACUUAUAGAAGACAAAGAAAUAAAUAAAAGUAAAUAAUUUCCAAAAUGUUUUCAGAUACCAAGACCUGAAAAUUAAGUUAAUGAUAACAAUUUUAGGAAAGGUGUAAAAAUUUCCUCCAAAUAGCAGUGCCAGAUUGGCAGGAAGAAGGAGUAAUGUUUUUCUGGUCUUUCAUAUGAUGUUUCUAAUCUGAAAAUAAGAGUCUAUUUGAAAAUCUCUACCAAGUGGGUCUGAAUCCAAAUAACUUACUAUUUGUUCCACUCAUUAAUCAUGUAAGCUCUAAAUAUGUUUUUGAGAAAAGUAUAUUAAUAUUGACAGGCAUAUUUGGCAAAGCAAUAUCAGCUAUACACAAAAGCCAUUUUAAACAGCCUCUUUAAUAAGGUAGGAGAUGAAAAAUACCAGCUCACAAGAGUAUGUGUUUAAUUAGGAGGUAUACUGUACUCAGGGACAUUCUAAUGAAUAAUAAAUGAUGUUUUAUUUCCUGUAUCUGAGACACAAAGCCAAAUCAUCAAGAAUCAAAGCAACUCAAAGUAUUAGGUAACAAUCAGUAAACUUGGGCAAGAUCCUUUUUCCCUCUCAAGUUUAAUUGGCUCAUUGUUCCCAGGAACUAUAAACCAUGGGGUUGGUGGCAGAGCUGAAGUUUACUUCUAUAAAGGAAGAUUAACAUAUUCUGGAACUUUACACUAAUCCUUGUUUUGAGUUAACUCAAGCAGAUUGGAUUAGUAAUUCUUACCUACCACCCACUAGAAGGGACCCUGGCUUCGCUUCUUUGACAACCAGUGGUAUUGUACACCUUCUGUGCAUUAUCUUCCACUGAAAAUGUCCUGGGGAAAGAAAUUGUGUUACAGGGAGAAAGAAACUGUUUUACAUGGGGGUGGGGGUGGGGAGAACCAAGGCCACUCAAAGCUAAGGCCGGUAGUUUCUCUAUUAUCAGCUUGGUGCACAUUUGGUUAAUUCAGGCAGUUGGUGGGGUAUUCUAAGAAGUUCAUUAAACAUUUCCUCGUCACUGAAUUGGCUUUUCUCUGCCCCCCAUCUGGGGAGGGCUGAGGCUGAAAGGCAAGAAGAAAGGCUUCUCCCUUACAACCCUCUAGAACCGUUUCCAUAUUCUUUCUUUCCUUGUCCCUUCAACUCUCAGAUAGGAACAACAACAACAAAAACCUGAACAAUUCCCUAGGGGGAUGAUUAUUUACCCCUGCUUUUAUAAGUACAAUGAAUUUAUAUACCUAUUGACAUGGCGUCUUUAUAGAAGGAAAAUGAACAAAAUCAAGUUCUGCCAAACUACAAGAAAGAUGCCCUUGGCCUGUAGGUUCAGAUCUCACAGGUCUAUGUUUGUUACUGUUUGCCUAAAGAAUUUUGAUUUUCCUGUGGUUGCCAAGGAGGAGGGGAAGGGAGUGGGAUUCAUUGGGAGCUUGGGGUUAAUAGAAAACUAUUGCCUUUGGAAAGGAUAAGCAAUGAGAUCCUGCUGUAUAGCACUGGGAACUAUACCUAGUCACUUACCAUGGAGCAUGAUAAUGUGAGAAAAAGAAUGUAUAUGUGUAUGUGUGACUGGGUCACCUUGCUGUACAACAGAAAAUUGACAGAACAUUGUAAACCAGCUAUGAUGGAAAAAAUAGAAAUCACUAAAAAGAUAAAUAAAAAACACUGAAAAAAAAAA